rnacentral:rRNA from 1 species
CGGGCGGGGCUACACAUCCAGUCUUACGGUAGCACAGGAGAGCUUGCUCUCUGGGUGACGAGCGGCGGACGGGUGAGUAAUGUCUGGGAAACUGCCUGAUGGAGGGGGAUAACUACUGGAAACGGUAGCUAAUACCGCAUGACCUCGCAAGAGCAAAGUGGGGGACCUUCGGGCCUCACGCCAUCGGAUGUGCCCAGAUGGGAUUAGCUAGUAGUGGGGUAAUGGCUCACCUAGGCGACGAUCCCUAGCUGGUCUGAGAGGAUGACCAGCCACACUGGAACUGAGACACGGUCCAGACUCCUACGGGAGGCAGCAGUGGGGAAUAUUGCACAAUGGGCGCAAGCCUGAUGCAGCCAUGCCGCGUGUGUGAAGAAGGCCUUAGGGUUGUAAAGCACUUUCAGCGAGGAGGAAGGGUUCAGUGUUAAUAGCACUGAGCAUUGACGUUACUCGCAGAAGAAGCACCGGCUAACUCCGUGCCAGCAGCCGCGGUAAUACGGAGGGUGCAAGCGUUAAUCGGAAUUACUGGGCGUAAAGCGCACGCAGGCGGUUUGUUAAAGUCAGAUGUGAAAUCCCCGAGCUUAACUUGGGAACUGCAUUUUGAAAACUGGCAAGCUAAAAGUCUUGUAGAGGGGGGUAGAAUUCCAGGUGUAGCGGUGAAAAUGCGUUAGAGAUCUGGAGGAAUUACGGUUGGCGAAGCGGCCCUGGAACAAAGACUUGACCGCUUCAGGUGCGAAAGCGGUGGGGNCAACCCGGAUUAAUCCCNGGUUUUNCCC